GGAAUGCAAGACAAAACUCUUUCUAUGUUUUCAGAAUUCACAUCGACAUCAUUUACAGCAACUAGAGCAUCUCCAAUCAAUAUUUGGCCUGUUUUCAUUGCUGAACCGCCAGGCACCAAGCCAUGUACUACAAGCUUCUCUUCACUGAUUCCUCUGGUGACCUUAUCCUUCUUGCCUUGUUUUUCUGCUCUUCUGCUGCUCCACGAAGACUGAUGGAGAAUUCCUACCAAGGCCUCUAGCAGCCUGUGCUGCUCAUCUUCUCCAGCAUUCCCCAACAGUUUUCUGGGAUUUACAUAAACAUAGAUAUCUUUGUACUUUUGCUGUAUUUCACCCAUUUUCUGAGUGGAGUGGUGUUUCAGUAUGGAAGUUGGACCACUGGAGCGCACGUUACAGCUUCCACUUCCUUUCUUACUAGAAUGCUUUGGUAAAAGAUUCUUCUUCUUUAAGAUUUUUGUCAGUUUCUUCAGUUCAUACUUUCUUUCUUUUCGUGAUCCCUCCUGAAUAACUUCCGCUUCAUUUUCACGAAAUCUGACAUGAUUCACCGAUGGUAUUUCUGGACAGGCGUUCUGAAGUAAAGUUUCUUCUUCACUUUCACUCAUUUCUAAAUAAAAUAGCUCCCCAUUUUUCUGCACACCAUCCAACCAUUCAGGCUCAAGGUCAUCGGAGCUGGCGGACAGCGAGGUGCUGUCCGAGCCGCUCUCGCUGCCGGUGUCCGCGCACCCCGUGCUGCCACCCUGCAGCGGCUCCACACCCACAGCUACUCCGCUCGCGCCGUCCCCCUCGGACGCCAUGAC
rnacentral:lncRNA from 1 species